GAAACUGGUUACCUAGAGUAUGGGAGGGGAGAUGAAUUAGUGGUGUAGGGGUAAAAUCCGUAGAUAUCACUAGGAAUACCGAAAGCGAAGGCGAUCUCCUGGAACAAUACUGACGCUAAGGCGUGAAAGCGUGGGGAGCAAACGGGAUUAGAUACCCCGGUAGUCCACGCCCUAAACGAUGUUCACUAGUCGUCGGAAUGCUAGUCAUUUCGGUGAUGCACUUAACAGAUUAAGUGAACCGCCUGGGGAGUACGGUCGCAAGAUUAAAACUCAAAGGAAUAGACGGGGACCCGCACAAGUGGUGGAGCAUGUGGUUUAAUUCGAAGAUACGCGAAGAACCUUACCUAGCCUUGACAUUGAUUGAAUACUUUAGAGAUAGAGUAGUGCCCUUCGGGGAACAUGAAAACAGGUGCUGCACGGCUGUCGUCAGCUCGUGUCGUGAGAUGUUGGGUUAAGUCCCGCAACGAGCGCAACCCUCGUCCUUAGUUGCCAGCAGGUUAAGCUGGGCACUUUAAGGAGACUGCCUUCGCAAGGAGGAGGAAGGUGAGGACGACGUCAAGUCAUCAUGGCCCUUAUGGCUAGGGCUACACACGUGCUACAAUGGGGCGUACAGAGAGUUGCGAUACCGCGAGGUGGAGCCAAUCUCAUAAAGCGUCUCUCAGUUCGGAUUGAAGUCUGCAACUCGACUUCAUGAA
rnacentral:rRNA from 1 species